CUGACAUGGUAAUGAAAGCAAGGAACAAUGACCCAUUCGAAUAUCUCCUAAAAUAAAAAGCAACAGAUCCUCCAUGAUAUCUUCAGCAGUGAUCCACAGAUCUCUCCUCUGUGUUACAGUAACAUCCACCUCAAAUAAAGAGGAGAGCACUUUUAGGAUAAAAUAGGUUAUUUAACCCCUCCGUAUCGUCACUAGUAUAUGUACA